AGGGGUGCGGGGGAAUCGGAACCCCCACGCUUUUCCCACCGCUUUUAGCGUAAAAGCGGUGGGAAAAGCGUGGGGGUUUCGAUUCCCCCACACCCCUA
rnacentral:tRNA from 1 species